rnacentral:rRNA from 1 species
AAAAGGUGGCUAUACUACCGCUUUUGGAUGGGCCCGCGGCGCAUUAGCUAGUUGGUAGGGUAAAGGCUUACCAAGGCAAUGAUGCGUAGCCGAAUUGAGAGGUUGAUCGGCCACAUUGGGACUGAGACACGGCCCAAACUCCUACGGGAGGCAGCAGUAGGGAAUCUUCCACAAUGGGCGAAAGCCUGAUGGAGCAACGCCGCGUGGGUGAAGAAGGUCUUCGGAUCGUAAAACCCUGUUGUUAGAGAAGAAAGUGCGUGAGAGUAACUGUUCACGUUUCGACGGUAUCUAACCAGAAAGCCACGGCUAACUACGUGCCAGCAGCCGCGGUAAUACGUAGGUGGCAAGCGUUAUCCGGAUUUAUUGGGCGUAAAGGGAACGCAGGCGGUCUCUUAAGUCUGAUGUGAAAGCCUUCGGCUUAACCGGAGUAGUGCAUUGGAAACUGGGAGACUUGAGUGCAGAAGAGGAGAGUGGAACUCCAUGUGUAGCGGUGAAAUGCGUAGAUAUAUGGAAGAACACCAGUGGCGAAAGCGGCUCUCUGGUCCGUAACUGACGCUGAGGUUCGAAAGCGUGGGUAGCAAACAGGAUUAGAUACCCUGGUAGUCCACGCCGUAAACGAUGAAUGCUAAGUGUUGGAGGGUUUCCGCCCUUCA